rnacentral:lncRNA from 1 species
GCUUGAGCCACAGAGCAGGGUGAAGCUUUACAGUUCUGGAGUAGAAGUAUGAAUGGGAUUGAAGUAUUUACGUGGAGGACUCUGAACUCCUUCCCUUCCUGAGUCAGGAAGGAUAGGGGCCUGCUUUGAGACCUACUGAAGCUGUCUUGAAUGAUGUGACAAAUGGCUCUCCGCAUGUACUGAGAUGCAGCACAGCCAGGAGAGCCCCUGGCCCCUGAAUACUACCUUCAGAUGGAGGAGGGAAAAUAACAUCUACAGGCACGGUAAUGUCUUCACUUUGCUACAAGAUGCAGAUGGAUCACUCCUUGCCAGCUUUCAAGGCAAAUAUUGCUGUAUAGUCCUUGCCCUCAGCAACAUCGUCAGUGUCCUGGUGAUGGGUGCUUUGAAAGGAUUGGGCAGAAGAGACGUCAUGCUACCUCUGCACAUCAGACUCUCUGUUCUAAAUAAGAAGACUACAAGGACACAUUUAUUGCGUACCAAAUUAUACAGGUUGCAUUUUUGGAGGGGAACCAAAAGGAAUGGAAGAGCAGCAUCAGUCUCUGAAUAACAAAUCUUAUUUUCUCCAUGGAAUAGUUCUUCAAGAAUGAAACAG